rnacentral:rRNA from 1 species
GAUGAACGCUAGCGGCAGGCUUAAUACAUGCAAGUCGAACGGUAACAGGGUAGCAAUACCGCUGACGAGUGGCGCACGGGUGCGUAACGCGUAUGCAACUUACCUUUAACUGGAGAAUAGCCCCGAGAAAUUGGGAUUAAUACUCCAUAAUAUACGGAACGGCAUCGUUCUGUGUUGAAAGUCCCAACGGUUAAAGAUAGGCAUGCGUCCCAUUAGUUUGUUGGUGAGGUAACGGCUCACCAAGACUUCGAUGGGUAGGGGUUCUGAGAGGAUGAUCCCCCACACUGGUACUGAGACACGGACCAGACUCCUACGGGAGGCAG